AUGUCACUAAAGAUGGAUUCUGCCCCAGGCGUCGUGACUGCGAUAUUCCUCAUACUCGCAAGGACCCAUGCAGAAUCAGUGACACAGACAGAAGGUAAAGUGACCCUCUCAGAAGAGGACUUUCUUACUAUUCACUGCAACUAUUCAGCCACAGGAUACCCAGCCCUGUUCUGGUACGUGCAGUAUCCCGGAGAAGGUCCACAGCUCCUCUUCAGAGCCUCGAAGGCCAACGAGAAAGGAAGCAGCAGAGGUUUUGAAGCUACAUAUGAUAGAGAAUCCACUUCCUUCCACUUGCAGAAAGCCUCGGUCCAAGAGUCAGACUCGGCUGUGUACUACUGUGCUCUGAGUGACACAGUGACAGAAACCACAGCGGGAGCUGAACACAAACUCAGCACCAGGAGCCUGGCUGCUGAGCUCUUGCCUCUGGGGAUGCUUUGGUUCCUCUGUACGACAAGUGUAAUUACUGCCCCUCGUCGAAGAAACCUCUCUUUAGAGACUAUGGAGACCAUCACUGUUAUAUUUUCUGCUCAGCUGCAGCAGCUUACACUCUCACCUACUGCUAACAAGUGUGGCGAAUCACCACUGUCCCAACUCAUAGCAACGCAAGCUCCCAUUAAAAGUUCCCUCUGA